rnacentral:rRNA from 1 species
CAACCUGAGAGUUUGAUUCUGGCUCAGAACGAACGCUGGCGGCAGGCCUAACACAUGCAAGUCGAGCGCCUCGCAAGAGGAGCGGCAGACGGGUGAGUAACACGUGGGAACGUGCCCUAAGGUACGGAACAACUCCGGGAAACUGGAGCUAAUACCGUAUGUGACCGAGAGGUGAAAGAUUCAUCGCCUUGGGAUCGGCCCGCGUCUGAUUAGCUAGUUGGUGGGGUAAUGGCCUACCAAGGCGACGAUCAGUAGCUGGUCUGAGAGGAUGAUCAGCCACAUUGGGACUGAGACACGGCCCAAACUCCUACGGGAGGCAGCAGUGGGGAAUCUUGCGCAAUGGGCGAAAGCCUGACGCAGCCAUGCCGCGUGAAUGAUGAAGGUCUUAGGAUUGUAAAAUUCUUUCACCGGGGACGAUAAUGACGGUACCCGGAGAAGAAGCCCCGGCUAACUUCGUGCCAGCAGCCGCGGUAAUACGAAGGGGGCUAGCGUUGUUCGGAAUUACUGGGCGUAAAGCGCAUGUAGGCGGGUCGUUAAGUCGGGGGUGAAAGCCCAGAGCUCAACUCUGGAACUGCCUUCGAUACUGGCGACCUGGACCCAAGGAGAGGCGAGUGGAAUUGCGAGUGUAGAGGUGAAAUUCGUAGAUAUUCGCAGGAACACCAGUGGCGAAGGCGACU